rnacentral:rRNA from 1 species
UACGGAGGAUGCAAGCGUUAUCCGGAAUGAUUGGGCGUAAAGCGUCCGCAGGUGGCAAUGUAAGUCUGCUGUUAAAGAGUCUAGCUCAACUAGAUAAAAGCAGUGGAAACUACAUAGCUAGAGUACGUUCGGGGCAGAGGGAAUUCCUGGUGUAGCGGUGAAAUGCGUAGAGAUCAGGAAGAACACCGGUGGCGAAGGCGCUCUGCUAGGCCGUAACUGACACUGAGGGACGAAAGCGUGGGUAGCGAACGGG